GUGGGGAAUCUUGGACAAUGGGCGCAAGCCUGAUCCAGCCAUGCCGCGUGAGUGAUGAAGGCCCUAGGGUCGUAAAGCUCUUUCGCCAGGGAUGAUAAUGACAGUACCUGGUAAAGAAACCCCGGCUAACUCCGUGCCAGCAGCCGCGGUAAUACGGAGGGGGUUAGCGUUGUUCGGAAUUACUGGGCGUAAAGCGCGCGUAGGCGGAUUGGAAAGUUAGGGGUGAAAUCCCGGGGCUCAACCCCGGAACUGCCUCUAAAACUCCCAGUCUAGAGUUCGAGAGAGGUGGGUGGAAUUCCGAGUGUAGAGGUGAAAUUCGUAGAUAUUCGGAGGAACACCAGUGGCGAAGGCGGCUCACUGGCUCGAUACUGACGCUGAGGUGCGAAAGCGUGGGGAGCAA
rnacentral:rRNA from 1 species